rnacentral:lncRNA from 1 species
AUAUAUUUCAAUUACUAAAGCGUUUAUUUAUCGUGGGUUCUCAUUAUAUCGUUUAAAAACUACACAGUUUUGGAUUAACUUGACUAUUUUUCAUUGGAAAUCGGUGUUUAUAUAUUUUGUCGACAACAAGAUAUUUGGGACAUAACGUUUGUCUUACAUCACGUACAUGAGUAACAAUCUUUUAAUAUUGGGUUUUAUAUGGACUGGAGCGUUGACAGUGGAGUAUAACAUUGCUUAAAUUCAAGAUAUCAAUACAGUGAAGUGAUAAAUAACUUGGAACUUGGUUUUUAAUACUAUUACAUUUAAUGUUGUGGAUUUCCAAAGAGGGGAGCAUAUAAUAAACAACAAACUGACAUAUUGUUACAACAAAAUUAGAUUGAGUUUUGAAUUUCGCACACUUUACUCAACAGUCGGUACUGUAUUUGAGACAAUAUGGCAACUGAAGCAAAACAUGACAAACAGGUGGCACUUGCGAAAAUAAACUUGUCGGAGGCUGAAGACCUUAUAGCAACGAACAAUCUGGAUGAUACAGUCAUGGCGUAUGGGAAACUUGGGGAAAUCAUAAAACGACUUGAACUAUCCAAGGACAACACAAUGCAAUAUAUGAUGGAAAAUGACUCGGAUUUGGAAACACUAAAAGAAUGGGCAGAUAAACAAAAGGAAUGCAUUCUGUGCUUUCGUAAAGCAAGGGACAACUGCAAACAACAAAUGGACAAAUUAAAAGUGCAACAACAGGAAGAAGCAAUUCAGGGGGAACUUGAGAAUAAAAAGAAGAUUAAUGAUGAGCAACUGAAAUUUCAAUUACAACAAGAAAAGGAACUUCAAGAGAUGAUGAUAAGGAAACAACAAGCUGAAGAAGAAUGGUUAAAGAAGAAAGUAGAACUGCAAAUGCAAAUGCAAAGUGAAGCAACAGGGAGUGUAACAGCUGGCACGACAAACGAAACUCGAUCUACAGUCAAGCUGGAAAAGUACACUAUAACACCAUUUACUGGGGAUUACAUGGACUGGCUGAGAUUCUGGAACCAGUUUACAGUAGAAGUCAACGACACCAACAUUUCGGAGGUGAGCAAAUUUCACUAUCUGUUAGAGUUAGUAAAAGGGAAACCCCGAGAGGACAUUUUGGGUUUACCCCAUACAUCAGAUGGUUACAAGGAAGCAAAGAAGAUACUUAUAGAAAACUAUGGCAAGGAUACAAAAGUCCACAAAGCACUCAUAAAAGAUUUGGAAAGUCUUCACACUAUUACCAGCAUCCACAAACUCAAUUUGAUUCAUGAUUUUUACAAUAAGCUGUCAAGAAUUGUUAGAUCUCUUACAACGAUGGGAAAAUUGCAAACAGCGCAAAGUGCGGUGUACACAUUAAUGGACAAACUAGGCCCUGUGCGAGAGGUCCUGGUGCAAAAGGAUGACGAGUGGGAAAACUGGAGAUUAACCGAACUAGUGGAGCACUUACACAAGUUUGUAAAUCGAAAUCCUAUUCGUGCAGAAGAGAAUGAAGCAUCUGGAAAACAAGAUUGGAAGAAAAGAGGUCGUUGGAGUGAUCGUGAAAAAUUACUCUUUGGUAAUGACGGUGAAAGAAACAAGAAAAAGCAAUGUAUUUACUGUGAGUCAAAGGAACAUACAGCUAUCAAUUGUACAAAGAUAUUAGAUGUUGCUAAGCGACGUGAGAUUCUAAAGCAAAAGAAUUCCUGUUACAAUUGUGCGACCCCAGGCCAUCGAGCUUCGACAUGUAGAGCACAAGGUUGUCAUAAAUGCGGACAAAAGCAUCACACUUCAAUUUGUCAACAGAAGAGACCAUCCUCAAUGGAUGGGAUGAAUAAUAGCAAAGGAGAAAAGGGUUAUGCAGGUAUUCAACGAGAAGCAGGUGUGGAUGAACUUGGACGUGAAAAAACUGAUAAGGCUCUUGGGGCAGCCCAAAGUAAUCAACCUACUGUACACCCGACAUUGCAUGCCAAGAUUGGGGACAAAAAGGUACGAGUUAUGAUCGACACUGGGGCAAGUAGUUCAUACAUCUG